CCGGCCCGUCCCUCUCCUUCCAGGCCAGCCCAGCCGGCAGCCCCGGCUCCGACCUGCCCGGCGGUGUUCUUUGUGGGCGGCCUGAACCACCUCAAGCAGGACGAUUGCCAAACCCACCCAGGGCGGCAACCUGCAACUGGAACUGAAGGGAAGCAUGUGGUACAACAAAGUUGGUGGAAAAAGGCUCACAGUGACAGAUUUUUCGUUGGAACUCCCAUUUUUUCUUAAAAAAGAAGUGUCUUACCUUGGCUCUCUGGGGCUGUGGCAAAUGCCCAGUAACUGAUCCUGCGUCUGGCAAGGAUGAGCUUUUCCUCUUGUCCUUGACGUGCUGUCUUGCUCUGGGGAUAUUCCCCCCUCAAAUCUUAGCUCCCCAGCUUUGCUCCUCAUCCCUCCUCUGCAUUCCUCUUCCGGAAUUCUGACAAGUCCUGAGGGUCGUGCCUUCACAGCCGGUGCAGCAUCUCCUUCUAAACCAGCCUCCCUAGGCUUCCUAGGAACCUCCAUGUUUCCACCAAAAACUGGUGUUACAGCUAGAGAACAUGAUCUCAGCCCUAUGGGGACCAGCUUCAAACUCCACCCGCCCAGCCACUCCAGACGCCUAGAAGUGCUUCACCCAUCUGACCGUGUCACCACGAGCAACCUGGUGAAGAGCCAGGCAGACCUCCAUUCACACUCCGGGCUUCAGUACUUGGAGCUGGGUGACCUUGGGCAAGUCACUUGUUCUUUCAGGGCCAGUUCCCUCAGUUGUAUAAUUAGAGUGAUACGUUGUUGCAAGAAUUAAAUGAGAAAUGUGAGAAAGUGUUAAGCACAGGGCCUGGUGCAUGGUAAGAGCUGUUAAGUAGCUAGCUUAAUUAUAAUUAGCUGUUUCCAUUUGACCUUGUCUAACCUUGGGGCUGUUGCUCUGACUUUGCCACCUGCCCACUCUGAUACACAGCCCCCCCCCCCCCCCCCCGGAUUCCAAGUUCCUUUAGAAGGUCACCCUGCCUAAUUCCCCACCCUCUAUGCCACCUUUCCCCUGGCUUUUUACUGUGCUUCCUGCUCUGUGACCUCCUCUAACUCAAGUAAUGACUAACUUGAGCACAUCGUGUCCCUUGGGCUGUGCUGGGCUGGGCUUUUGUUCUGAGGCCCCUUCUGUGAAGGGUGCUGUAGCAGCAGGUUGAAAGCGGAAAGUGUGUGGACCAGGGAACUAGGAAAGCUGUUCAGUACAUGCCUGUGGAGGGCCAGUGUUUCUCUGUGGAGAGAAGGAGGACGAAUUGUUUAGCUCACCUUAAAGGUUCAGGGCAAAGAGAACACUUUUUCAUGUGUGUGUGUGCAGGCGAGGGAAGAGGAAUGGUUCUGGAGCGCUGUGAUUCUUUCUGCCCAAGGCUGGUGCUGUGUGCUGUGUGUGGGUGGAUAGAGAGGGAAGCAGAGCACAGGAAGGGCAGCAGAGAGCAGAGGGAAGUUAGGGACCUCUGUCCAAGUGAGGAUGACAGGUUCUAACUGAGGAAACAGCCAGAUGCAGUUUUGUGAUUGAAGCAGAAUCUACCCUGGUGCUGAGACAGGGCCCCAAAGGUGAAAGCAGGCUAGGACUGUCCUAUUUGUAGCAGGAUGGCCAGUCAGAAGCUGAGCUGGGAGGAGAGGCGGGAAGAUCAACCCCUAGCAGUCAGCUACUUCUGCUCAAGAUCAGAGAGGCUAAAAUGGAGGUUCACCUGCCUGCAAAAGAGAGAGUCCAACUUGACAGGCUGCGUAUGGAGACGGAGAUCUGAAAACAGAACCGCCCCCUCCCAACCCACCCAGGGUUUUGGCCCUCUGAUCUCCUGGGCCAGACACCAUGCUGUCUACUCUGCAGAGGGCUCUGGAGAGCUGAGCUGCCAAGCCCACGUUCACACACGUGCUCACGCACAGCGGGGCUCUGUUCAGCCAGCCCUAGAGUAUUUUAAGUACAGAGUGGAGGGGGUGACUGUAUGUGUCGCAUGGUGACUCAUCCUGGCAGCAGAAACUGUGCCGUGUUGAGGAAAAUGGCUCAAUGGCAGGCUCUGUUUGCAGUAGAAAGCAGCCGAGGUGCACAGCUCUGCCAUGGAGGGCGAAGAGGCCUGGGAGAGAAGAGCACCGGGAAAUGCUGGACCUGUCACGUCACAGAGGGGGAUGUGGGUGGAUUCCUGGCUAACACCUAACACUGUCGAUCACCGCACCCUGUGCUCCACAGAGCAUCAUUCUGUGCUGCACGAUGGACCCUGUGUGUUGAUAGAAAAACAAAUCAUGCUCUGGAAUGAUUCUGGUUUCUUAAAGAAGCCAGAGACCCUGAAUGGGGACAAGUAGAAAUAUCUCUUCAUUGCUUUCACUAAAGUCAUUCUGGCACUUUCCUGUUUCACUGGGUCUGUAAUUGAAUUCUUGUCCUGGGUGAGGAUAUAGUAUGAAAAUACUGAAGAAGGAGCUUUUUUAGCAAGGCCCACUUGGUAAAGUGGACUAUUCCUGCCAUCAGUGGAAGUCACAGGUUACCUGCUCGCCACCUGAGUCAUCAGGCCCUGACUGCAGACUUCCAGAAGUUGCUUUCUGCUCCGCUGUUUCCUAACUUGUAAGUCAGGAAGCUGGUGAGUCCAGAAAGCAUGCACGGUGUUGGGGAGAUGUGUCAGGAUUUCUCUCCACCCCUCCCUGCUCUUUGCCAGUUUGUUCUUAGGUGUGUGAAUGGUGGAGACCAUAGUAGAGAGCAGAGGACAUAAGAGAAUGAGAAUGAUUUUCGUUUGAUAUUCUCUGGCUGGACCACAGAGGUGCGUGGUCUCUGCAAGCAUUCAAAUAUUCAUGAUGUGGUGGGUGCUGGGACUGAAAGCCAGUAGGGGCCUGGUGCUACCCUAUUGUUAGAGCUUUCAGAACCAGCUUACCUGUUCCUUUGUAC
rnacentral:lncRNA from 1 species